UACGUAGGGUGCAAGCGUUGUCCGGAAUUAUUGGGCGUAAAGAGCGUGUAGGCGGCCCGAUUAGUCCGAUGUGAAAGUUCAGGGCUCAACCCUGGAAUGCCGGUGGAUACUGUCGGGCUAGAGUCCGGAAGGGGCGAGUGGAAUUCCUGGUGUAGCGGUGAAAUGCGCAGAUAUCAGGAGGAACACCAAUGGCGAAGGCAGCUCGCUGGGACGUGACUGACGCUGAGACGCGAAAGCGUGGGGAGCAAACAGG
rnacentral:rRNA from 1 species